UGACCAUCGAACCGUGCCUUCAAUUCACACAAACUCAAGUUUUUAGUUUUCCAAAUUCCGAUUUCCAGGAAUUCACACACCCAGAUUCAGGCUAUCUCUAAUUUUUGUGUAUAUAAUUAAAAAAAAAAUGGAUGAAAUAUUUGGGACAAGAAGAGCAACAAGCGAAA